GUGGAUUAGAUACCCGGGUAGUCCACGCUGUAAACGAUGGGUGCUAGGCGUCGGGGGGAGCGACCCCUUCGGUGCCGUCGCUAACGCAAUAAGCACCCCGCCUGGGGAGUACGGUCGCAAGACUGAAACUCAAAGGAAUUGACGGGGGCCCGCACAAGCGGUGGAGCAUGUGGUUUAAUUCGAAGCAACGCGAAGAACCUUACCUGGGCUUGACAUGCACGGGAAACCCGGUGGAAACAUCGGGCCCUCUUCGGAGUCCGUGCACAGGUGCUGCUCGGCUGUCGUCAACU
rnacentral:rRNA from 1 species